rnacentral:rRNA from 1 species
UAAAGAUUCAUCGCUGAUAGAUAGGCAUGCGUUCCAUUAGGCAGUUGGCGGGGUAACGGCCCACCAAACCGACGAUGGAUAGGGGUUCUGAGAGGAAGGUCCCCCACAUUGGUACUGAGACACGGACCAAACUCCUACGGGAGGCAGCAGUGAGGAAUAUUGGUCAGUGGGCGUAAGCCUGAACCAGCCAAGUCGCGUGAGGGAUGAAGGUUCUAUGGAUCGUAAACCUCUUUUAUAAGGGAAUAAAGUGCGGGACGUGUCCCGUUUUGUAUGUACCUUAUGAAUAAGGAUCGGCUAACUCCGUGCCAGCAGCCGCGGUAAUACGGAGGAUCCGAGCGUUAUCCGGAUUUAUUGGGUUUAAAGGGUGCGUAGGCGGCCUUUUAAGUCAGCGGUGAAAGUCUGUGGCUCAACCAUAGAAUUGCCGUUGAAACUGGGAGGCUUGAGUAUGUUUGAGGCAGGCGGAAUGCGUGGUGUAGCGGUGAAAUGCUUAGAUAUCACGCAGAACCCCGAUUGCGAAGGCAGCCUGCCAAGCCAUGACUGACGCUGAUGCACGAAAGCGUGGGGAUCAAACAGGAUUAGAUACCCUGGUAGUCCACGCAGUAAACGAUGAUCACUAGCUGUUUGCGAUACACAGUAA